AUUGUUUAUGGUGAGAGUUAGAGGAUCAGUUUCAAAAAGAUGAUUAACUUAAUUUUUUUUAUAACUUAGAAAUGUGUGUAAACUUGUCAAUUGGAUCUCAAAUUGGUUGUCUUUUCUCUAUGUUGUAAAGUUGGUGUAUUUAUGUAUCAAUUGGGCUAAAAGUCAGUUGGAUUGUUAUUGUUAAUGGUAAGAGUUAGAAGGUCAGUUUGACAAAGAUUAUUAAACUAAGAUAUAAUCUUUUCUUGAUAACUUAGUAAUAAUGUGUGUAAAUUUGUCAAUUAGAUCCCAAAUUGGUAGGAUUUACACUAUGUAUGGUGAAAAAUGUCUAUCUUUGGUUCUUAAUUAUGAUUAAUGUUUAUACUCUUUGGCAGUUGUCUGAGGGAGGGGAGAAGAAUCAACUCUUCCAUUCUGUCUAAACAGCCCAAUUUUCUCAAAGAUGAAAUAGAUGCAAUACUCAUGAUUAGAAGUUGGAAAACCAAGAAAGAAUUUCAUUAUGACUAUGGCAAAGUUGUAGAAAGGUCUUUUGGUGGCUUGUACAUAACGAACUUUUGAUGGUCCUGACAGUCAUGGAUCAGCAGUUAAAAUAUACAGGACUAUCCGUGCUUAUAGCUUUUAGCCUUACUUUUGCCCACUGUGAAAAUGUGUUUUUGUCAAAUAGCACAACUUGGGAGUCCUGUAACUAUAAUCUUAAACUGCUUGUUGAAAAAUGCAAUGUAAAUAUAAUCUACUUUUUGGUUUGAAUUA